AUGCUCCUGAAACUCUCUGUGUUGCUCCUUUGGAAUCAAGUGGCCCGUGUGGCCACUCAACGGCUGGAGCAGAGUCCUCGGUUUCUGAGUAUCCAGGAGGGGCAAGAUUUCACUGCACGCUGCAGCUCCUCAACCACCUUCCCCCAACUUUACUGGUACCGACAGGUCCCCAGGGAAGGUCCUGUCAUCCUGGUGACAUUGGUCAAGAGUGGAGAGGUAAAGGAGCAGAGGAGGAUGACUGCUAAGUUUGGUGAAGCAAGAAAGAACAGCUCCCUAUUCAUCGCCAGAGCUCAGCCUGGAGACGCAGGCAUCUACUUCUGUACAGGAA